UGGCAAUCCAUGUCUUUGGGACCUUCAGCCAAGCUGCCUGCAGUUGGCUCUUCUGGGGGCUACUCUUGAGAAUCUCAAGUGAGAAACAUGACGGCACAGCUGCUCGCACCUCUGUGCUCUCGAGACUCAGUGACACCUCUGCCUCGGCUGCCUAUGGUCCAGCAGGGUGCACGACUCAUCCGUGUCAGGCUUCUCGCUGCCAUCUGGCGAGCUGCGUGAGUUCCCAGCUCCCACUCUAGCAGGGGACACUCUUCAAGCCAAAACUGCAGAUUUUUUUGCCCAGCCUCUAAUACUGGCAUUCUCCCUUCUGAAAACGUAAGCAUCACGCCUCUUUUGAAAGAUCUUCGACCCCAACCCUUUGCCAAACUGCUAUGUUUGCAGGCUGAGGUGAUUUAGGAAAA